AAAGAACCCCGGCGAGGGGAGUGAAAAAGAACCUGAAACCGUGUACGUACAAGCAGUGGGAGCACAGGUUUACCUGUGUGACUGCGUACCUUUUGUAUAAUGGGUCAGCGACUUAUAUUCUGUAGCAAGGUUAACCGUAUAGGGGAGCCGUAGGGAAACCGAGUCUUAACCGGGCGUUAAGUUGCAGGGUAUAGACCCGAAACCCGGUGAUCUAGCCAUGGGCAGGUUGAAGGUUGGGUAACACUAACUGGAGGACCGAACCGACUAAUGUUGAAAAAUUAGCGGAUGACCUGUGGCUGGGGGUGAAAGGCCAAUCAAACCGGGAGAUAGCUGGUUCUCCCCGAAAGCUAUUUAGGUAGCGCCUCGUGAAUUCAUCUCCGGGGGUAGAGCACUGUUUCGGCUAGGGGGCCAUCCCGGCUUACCAACCCGAUGCAAACUGCGAAUACCGGAGAAUGUUAUCACGGGAGACACACGGCGGGUGCUAACGUCCGUCGUGAAGAGGGAAACAACCCAGACCGCCAGCUAAGGUCCCAAAGUCAUGGUUAAGUGGGAAACGAUGUGGGAAGGCCCAGACAGCCAGGAUGUUGGCUUAGAAGCAGCCAUCAUUUAAAGAAAGCGUAAUAGCUCACUGGUCGAGUCGGCCUGCGCGGAAGAUGUAACGGGGCUAAACCAUGCACCGAAGCUGCGGCAGCGAACGUAUCACCCAAGACAACUUUACGGAGUUGACGAUUGACGGAGCGAAGCGACGUCAAAGCGUUCAUUAAAGUCGAGUUGGCUUAGGGAUACGUUCGUUGGGUAGGGGAGCGUUCUGUAAGCCUGUGAAGGUGUGUCGUGAGGCAUGCUGGAGGUAUCAGAAGUGCGAAUGCUGACAUAAGUAACGAUAAAGCGGGUGAAAAGCCCGCUCGCCGGAAGACCAAGGGUUCCUGUCCAACGUUAAUCGGGGCAGGGUGAGUCGACCCCUAAGGCGAGGCCGAAAGGCGUAGUCGAUGGGAAACGGGUUAAUAUUCCCGUACUUGGUGUUACUGCGAAGGGGGGACGGAGAAGGCUAUGUUGGCCGGGCGACGGUUGUCCCGGUUUAAGCGUGUAGGUGUGUGUUCCAGGUAAAUCCGGUUCACUUUAACACUGAGGCGUGACGACGAGGCACUACGGUGCUGAAGCAACAAAUGCCCUGCUUCCAGGAAAAGCCUCUAAGCAU
rnacentral:rRNA from 1 species